rnacentral:ncRNA from 1 species
AGAGGUAGAGGCGCAUCGAUUAAGAGUAGGCUGCAGGAUAUGUCAGGCAUAGAGGAAUGCAGAAGAAAGGAUGAGAUGCCGAAGGUGCGGGAUUCCUGAGGUCUCACAUGCUGGGGAGCAGAAGAAUAUUCUGUUCACUGUCAUCAUGAAUGUGAUGGAGAGCUACUGA